rnacentral:sRNA from 1 species
GCUGGGCAUGGUGGCGCAUGCCUGUAAUCCCAGCUACUCGGGAGGCUGAGGCAGAAGAAUCGCUUGAAACCGGGAGGCAGAGGUUGCAGUGAGCCAAGAUCGUGCCACUGCACUCCAGCCUCGGCAACAGAGCGAGACUCUGUCUCAA